ACGCUCGACACCUACGGGAGGUAGCAGUGGGGAAUAUUGCACAAUGGGGGAAACCCUGAUGCAGCAACGCCGCGUGAGCGAAGAAGUAUUUCGGUAUGUAAAGCUCUAUCAGCAGGGAAGAAAGUGACGGUACCUGAGUAAGAAGCCCCGGCUAACUACGUGCCAGNCGCGAUACUGNGCGGCGNGNGAGNG
rnacentral:rRNA from 1 species